GGCAGCACGAUGUAGCAAUACAUUGGUGGCGACCGGCGCACGGGUGAGUAACGCGUAUGCAACCUACCUAUCAGAGGGGAAUAACCCGGCGAAAGUCGGACUAAUACCGCAUAAAACAGGGGUUCCACAUGGAAAUAUUUGUUAAAGAAUUAUCGCUGAUAGAUGGGCAUGCGUUCCAUUAGAUAGUUGGUGAGGUAACGGCUCACCAAGUCCACGAUGGAUAGGGGUUCUGAGAGGAAGGUCCCCCACACUGGUACUGAGACACGGACCAGACUCCUACGGGAGGCAGCAGUGAGGAAUAUUGGUCAAUGGGCGAGAGCCUGAACCAGCCAAGUCGCGUGAAGGAUGAAGGAUCUAUGGUUUGUAAACUUCUUUUAUAUGGGAAUAAAGUGAGGAACGUGUUCCUUUUUGUAUGUACCAUAUGAAUAAGCAUCGGCUAACUCCGUGCCAGCAGCCGCGGUAAUACGGAGGAUGCGAGCGUUAUCCGGAUUUAUUGGGUUUAAAGGGUGCGUAGGUGGUUAAUUAAGUCAGCGGUGAAAGUUUGUGGCUCAACCAUAAAAUUGCCGUUGAAACUGGUUGACUUGAGUAUAUUUGAGGUAGGCGGAAUGCGUGGUGUAGCGGUGAAAUGCAUAGAUAUCACGCAGAACUCCGAUUGCGAAGGCAGCUUACUAAACUAUAACUGACACUGAAGCACGAAAGCGUGGGGAUCAAACAGGAUUAGAUACCCUGGUAGUCCACGCAGUAAACGAUGAUUACUAGCUGUUUGCGAUACACAGUAAGCGGCACAGCGAAAGCG
rnacentral:rRNA from 1 species